UGGUAGAGCGCUGCGUUCGGGACGCAGAGGUCGCGUGUUCAAAUCACGUCGCUUCGA
rnacentral:tRNA from 1 species